GUCAGUAAAUUAUCAGCAAAAGUUUUUUUUAAAGUCAACUACUCCUUUAAUGUAAGUGUUUAUGGCCUGGUUUUAGAGACAGGGCUUAGAUUAAGCCAGGAUUAGGCCUUCAGUUCAAUUCAGGACAUUGACACAGUAGCUUUAAUAAAGUGCCUUAGAAAAAAAAACAUUACUGGUGUGAAUCUUGAGACCAAACAAGGGCACUGACAUCUUUUAAGAUAUAUCAGUGCAAGUUGCUUUCAGUUAAAACAGCUCAAACAUGCAUUUCCUUGUCUAUGAAACUAGGGGUACAUGUCUAAAAUUAAAUUCACUAUAUUUCUGUUUUUAAAUAAUCCCAAAAAAUUGGCCACUUCCACUGUACAUGCUUCACUGUAACAUUAUGCCACAAAUGCUGUCAUUUGAUUGUUUUUUAUGCUUUAUGCUUGCAUUCAUUUGAUCAAAAAUACAGUUAUAAAUGUAAUACUGUGAGAUGUUAUCACAAUUUUAUGUGAUAGCAAAGCUGAAUUUUAAUGUGAGUGGUGUGUCGAUUGUAGAGAACCUGCUCCUGCUUUAGUGUGCACAUAGCAAAUGAAGUAAAAAGGAGAGAGGAACCAUGAACGAACAAUUACAACAACAAAAAUGUCACACAGAAAAAGUACACAGAGGCCUGCUGACAGAGGGACUGAAGAGGUUCCUGAAGGGUGGAAGCUUCAACACGACUGCCGGGCAGCACUCCCAAAAACUCGCCCUAGAUGUGCCGUCACACUGAGAGCAAUGAUAACAACGAACAGCAUGGCAGUGAGACUGCACCAGAGAACUUUGUGAGGAACCCUGGAGGAGCUGACGGGACCACAGUGCUAGAAAAUCCAAACACACGUUCAUCUCCCUCCGAGUUCCAGAGUGAAGCAUGUUUUCUGCUAAUGGAAACAGCAAUAUAACCACAUGAACUCUCACCAUGCUCCGUGGGUCCUCCAGACCGGCUUCUGAAUGCUUCCAGCACCUCACCAUUCUGCCCUGUUUUGCUUCUCCUCACGGUACCUGUCUUAAUCUUUUGUGUAUAAGCCAAUGUUCAUGACUGAGACUGACCAGCAGAGCCUGCAGUAUAGGUGUCUAACUUCUCCCUGCCAUCCUCUGCCCCCCACCUCUUGCCUCACACCAGGUAGUCCAACCCACUGGCUGACUACCCCUAUACCAGACAAUAGACAAAGGGGACAGGUAGAUUGGCACUGUGGAUAGGGCUUUUCGUCGCAGAGACAGUUUUAAGACAUCGACUGGCCUUGCCUUUAGGCUGCUGACUGACCAAGGUGACUUUGAUAACUUCAGAAGUGGUCAUAGUGAGAAGAUUAAAGAGCAAUUGCAUUAGAAGUUUAGUUUAUACCCCAAAAUGAAUUACUCACACUCAAGUCGUCCCUACUUGCUAUCUUCUGUGGAACACAAAAUAAGACGUUUUGAAGAAUGAUGGUAAAGGUUUUAAAA